UGAUACUUCUUUAACUUUUCCUUUUUUCUUUUGCUGUAGAACUGAUGUUUUUUAAGUCGUAAAGGAGAAUUUGCAUGUUAAUUAACUUUCAACUGAUAUAUUCAUGUAUUCAUAUAAAUGUGUAGUACACACAAGUUGACACGCCUGCAUAUAUAGGUGGGUAUGCAGUUCCAUAGUUGCAUGCUUUCCAGUCAUAAACUUCAUUUUUAGACAGGUGGUCAUUUCAUGGUGACUGAUUUUGAUAUCUUUUUAUUCUUCUUGUAACUCAAUUUCCAUCUUUGCAGUUCAAGAGAUGCAAUCGUGCUCACCUUGAGAUUAUUUAUGCUGAGGGCUAGUGAGAGAAGAAAGGGAAAGAAGAAGGGGUUUUUAUUUAACAAGUAAGAUAGAUUAUAGUCUUCUUGCUUUGCAGCUUGGUGGAGUAGCAGAUUUUGAGGGUUUCUAGUUAGAAGGUUGAGUAUGCUGCCCAAAUUUGAGUAGCUUUUGUACCACAAUCAAUUGCAGGCAGGAAUGAGCCUGAUGUGUUUUUCGCCCUAUGUAUAUGUAUAUUUUAAAUCCCAGUUGUAUGUGCCUAUGCGAUAACGAUCUAAAUUCCCCCAGGUCCCUUGUAUUUUUCCACGGGCAAUGCACAUACAGAGAAUGCUUUCUUUCACACCCAAAGCUGGACUGUAUAUUUUUGGUGAAAUAUAGAAAUUGUGCAUAUAAAUGCUUUCAUUUGGCUUAA